UUCUACUGAAGACAAAGAAAAAUCUGCAAAGAGGCAAAGUAUGCUAGAAGAGAUUGAACGUGAAUUUGAAGCUGCAACAAAAGAUCUUAAACAUCUACAUGAUUU